ACACAAGACCUGGCAGGGGCGACACCAUGAUCAAGAAGAUGGUUCACCCAGGGCUUGGCCAUCGCAGCCGGCUGUGCUGACCCCUGCAAAUUCCCCAAAUGUAGGAAUAUCAACUGCAUAAUUAAUGGAAUUGGGGGAUUGCGUUCACACUCUUCCUUA
rnacentral:snRNA from 12 species